AUGUUUCAGGCCGAAGUCGGUUUCCGGAGGGGUGUGGCCAAACCGCUGCCAGCACAAGAUGGAGGACAACAAGGGGCGGGGCGUGUGGUGGGAGGAGCCUAUCUGGGGGUGUGGCCACACGGAGGCGGAGCUGACCUCAGCGGAUGGGGAGCUCAGAGCCUGAGGGCCCGCCCACUGCCCCAGGCAGGGCAGCUGCCUGGUUUACAGGUGCAGGGCAGGGACUUCCAGGGUGCACCGGGGAAAAUCCAGGAAGGGGCCUUUGGUUUGGUGGCUGAGGCGGGCCGAGCCUCCUCCUUCAAGGUGGUGCUGCUCCGAGAAGGCUGCUUGGGGAAGACGUCGCUGGUGCUGCGCUGUUGCGAGAACAAGUUCAAGGACAAGCACAUCACCACUCUGCAGGCGUCUUUCUUAACAACGAAGUUACAUAUCGGUGGGAAAAGAGUUAAUCUUGCUAUAUGGGAUACAGUGGGUCAAGAGAGAUUCCAUGCAUUAGGUCCUCUUUACUACAGAGAUUCAAAUGGAGCUAUUUUAGUUUAUUAUAGAGCAGAUGAAGAUUCUUUUCAGAAGGUAAAAAACUGGGUCAAAGAAUUACAGAAAAUGUUGGGAAAUGAAAUCUGUUUAUGUAUAGUGGGUAAUAAAAUAGAUUUGGAAAAAGAGAGACAUGUGUCCAUUCAAGAAGCGGAAUCAUGUGCAGAGUCUGUGGGAGAAAAACAUUAUCCUACUUCAGCCAAACAAAGGAAUUGAGGAGCUCUUUCUUGACCUUUGUAAACGAAAGAUAGAGACAGCCCAAGUGGAUGAGAGGGCAAAAGGCAAUGGCUCUAGUCAACCAGAAGCUGCCAGGAGAGGUGUACAGAUGAUUGAUGAUGACCUCAAGCCCAGAGUGGUGGACGAGGGUGCUGUUCUUCUGGAUAA